UACGGGGGGGGCAAGCGUUGUUCGGAAUUACUGGGCGUAAAGGGCUCGUAGGCGGCCAACUAAGUCAGACGUGAAAUCCCUCGGCUUAACCGGGGAACGGCCUCUGAUACUGGCUGGCUGGAGUUCGGGAGAGGGAUGCGGAAUUCCAGGUGUAGCGGUGAAAUGCGUAGAUAUCUGGAGGAACACCGGUGGCGAAGGCGGCAUCCUGGACCGACACUGACGCUGAGGCGCGAAAGCCAGGGGAGCAAACGGG
rnacentral:rRNA from 1 species